CAAACUUUAAAGGUCGCGUUUUGUAUUAGGGUUAGCCGUGUCUCCGUCUCGCGUCUCCAGCGUUUCCCCAUCGAUUGCUCUUUCGACUUCUUCAUCCGGUGUGAGAUGAAGCAGUAACGAUUCGCCCUCAUAAAGCUCUCCUUAAUCAAUCAUACACGAUCUCCAUAUUCAAUGCGAUCUUGGAGAGUGAACGGUGGUGAAGGCUCUACUAUAAAAAGACUGGCCGUUCUUCCUCCUCCGUUCAAGUUCGCCUGCUCCGAUUUUGGGAGGCCAGUAACGUCCGGCGUGGUGGAGAGCUUAUGGGAGUCGACAUGCUCCUUCUUGCUUCUCAGUAUGUGUACAGGCUGGCAUGUUUGCUCUUCUUCGCGAUGCCACAGAGGUGCAAACUUCACCAGCUUAUAAAGGAUCGUAUCAACAAUAGUUUCAUGGCUUAUUGAAUAAGUUAAUACAUUCUUUUUCGACCAUUUUUUCCUCAUAACAUGCCUUUAUUAAGUUUGUAGUUCCCAUCACUCCUUACUCUUCAUAUUUCUAUUACACUAGCAGCAACUUUUAUUGAAGAAUUUCAGUGGAAACAUCAAAUGGGAGUCCACAACAUCUUAAUAAACCUCAUGGUUGAGGAACCUGUUUACAUGGCACCACAAGGAGAAAGGAAAAGUAGAGGCUGACAUGGACAUAGAGAAAUCGACAAGGAAGAUUUUGAGACAAAGCUGAACAUAACAAGCACUACGCUCAACGUCACACAAGAAGUUGUAUUCUUUUGAAGUAGACCUUGAAAAGGCAACAUUUAUGGUGCAGAUCACUUCAGCUUCAGUUAGAAAGAAAUUUCGUCACUUUCGUAUGAGCUUUUGCACUGUUGAAACGACCAAACCAAUGCAAGUCUAAAAAUGGAGGGGAUAUUGUAAUGGCUUCUGCAAAAUUAUCAAUGUCGAAAGCAGAUACCGACUUACAGAAGCAACUAGAAGCGUACAAGCAACACAGUGAAAUUUCCAGGUGUUCUCUCCAUGAAAGUAUAGAAAUUAUGCAUUGAUUGUGUGCGAACAAGUGAAAUCCAAAUCUGAGAAGAUGGAGAUUUUUCCAAAAUAGAAACAAAGAUUAUGCUUCGGAAGAAGCUGCCUGCUGCUGUUCAAUAUAAAAAAAGAGUGAGCAUUAAGAAUGUUUACUAUGUAAUGAAUACAAACAAAGAUAUGAAUGUUUGUUUAAGAACC